UUGCCCAAUGAUUAUAGCAAGACGCGUUAUUAUGAGGACUAAUGCUGGAACUCUUUCUCCUCUUUUUCCUCCUCCUUUGUCCCUUUCUCUUUCACCUUACCCCUCACUUUCCUUGGGGUAUCCAGCGUCCUGUGAGCAAGACUGAGAUAUGAGGGCAA
ensembl:snoRNA